rnacentral:rRNA from 1 species
AAUCAACGCUGGCGGCGUGCCUAACACAUGCAAGUCGAGCGAGAAAGUCCCCGCAAGGGGAUGAGUAAAGCGGCGAACGGGUGGGUAACACGUGGGCAACCUGCCCUUCAGUCAGGAAUAACCCCGCGAAAGCGGGGCUAAUACCGGAUGAUGUCCUUCGGGGGCAUCCUUGGGGGAUCAAAGGGGGCGAGCGCAAUCGGCUCCCGCUGAAGGAUGGGCCUGCGGCUGAUUAGCUAGUUGGUGGGGUAGCGGCCUACCAAGGCGACGAUCAGUAGCCGACCUGAGAGGGUGACCGGCCACACUGGGGCUGAGACACGGCCCAGACUCCUACGGGAGGCAGCAGUGGGGAAUAUUGCGCAAUGGGCGAAAGCCUGACGCAGCGACGCCGCGUGGGUGAUGAAGGCCUUCGGGUCGUAAAACCCUGUCGGGUGGAACGAAUCUCCGCCUUGCUAAUACCGAGGCGGAUUGACGGUACCACCGAAGGAAGCCCCGGCUAACUACGUGCCAGCCGCCGCGGUAAGAC